rnacentral:rRNA from 1 species
AUUGAACGCUGGCGGCAGGCCUAACACAUGCAAGUCGAGCGCGCGGCGGACGGGUGUGUAAUAUCUGGGAAACUGCCUUCUGUCGGGGGAUAACUCCUGGAAACGGUAGCUCAUACCCCGUACCCUCAGAUGUGCCCCGAUGGGAUUAGCUAGUAGGUGGGGUAACGGCUCACCUAGGCGACGAUCCCUAGCUGGUCUGAGAGGAUGACCAGCCACACUGGAACUGAGACACGGUCCAGACUCCUACGGGAGGCAGCAGUGGGGAAUAUUGGACAAUGGGCGCAAGCCUGAUACAGCCAUGCCGCGUGUGUGAAGAAGGCCUUCGGGUUGUAAAGCACUUUUGUCGGGGAGGCGUUACCCGAAGAAGAAGCACCGGCUAACUCCGUGCCAGCAGCCGCGGUAAUUC